CAGCAGCCGCGGUAAAACGUAGGUGGCAAGCGUUGUCCGGAAUUAUUGGGCGUAAAGGGCUCGCAGGCGGUUUCUUAAGCCUGAUGUGAAAGCCCCCGGCUCAACCGGGGAGGGUCAUUGGAAACUAGGAAACUUGAGUGCAGAUGAGGAGAGUGGAAUUCCACGUGUAGUGGUGAAAUGCGUAGAGAUGUGGAGGAACACCAGUGGCGAAGGCGACUCUCUGGUCUGUAACUGGCGCUGAGGAGCGAAAGCGUGGGGAGCGAACAGGAUUAGAUACCCCAGUAGUCCCUGUCUCUUAUAC
rnacentral:rRNA from 1 species